AUGAACGCUGGCGGCGUGCCUAAUACAUGCCAGUCGCGCGAACAGACGAGGAGCUUGCUCCUCUGACGUUAGCGGCGGACGGGUGAGUAACACGUGGAUAACCUACCUAUAAGACUGGGAUAACUUCGGGAAACCGGAGCUAAUACCGGAUAAUAUAUUGAACCGCAUGGUUCAAUAGUGAAAGACGGUUUUGCUGUCACUUAUAGAUGGAUCCGCGCCGCAUUAGCUAGUUGGUAAUGUAACGGCUUACCAAGGCAACGAUGCGUAGCCGACCUGAGAGGGUGAUCGGCCACACUGGAACUGAGACACGGUCCAGACUCCUACGGGAGGCAGCAGUAGGGAAUCUUCCGCAAUGGGCGAAAGCCUGACGGAGCAACGCCGCGUGAGUGAUGAAGGUCUUCGGAUCGUAAAACUCUGUUAUUAGGGAAGAACAAAUGUGUAAGUAACUAUGCACGUCUUGACGGUACCUAAUCAGAAAGCCACGGCUAACUACGUG
rnacentral:rRNA from 1 species